rnacentral:rRNA from 1 species
CUGGGACAAGCCCUGGAAACGGGGUCUAAUACCGGAUAACACCGGCUCUCGCAUGGGAGCUGGUUGAAAGCUCCGGCGGUGAAGGAUGAGCCCGCGGCCUAUCAGCUUGUUGGUGGGGUAAUGGCCUACCAAGGCGACGACGGGUAGCCGGCCUGAGAGGGCGACCGGCCACACUGGGACUGAGACACGGCCCAGACUCCUACGGGAGGCAGCAGUGGGGAAUAUUGCACAAUGGGCGAAAGCCUGAUGCAGCGACGCCGCGUGAGGGAUGACGGCCUUCGGGUUGUAAACCUCUUUCAGCAGGGAAGAAGCGAAAGUGACGGUACCUGCAGAAGAAGCGCCGGCUAACUACGUGCCAGCAGCCGCGGUAAUACGUAGGGCGCAAGCGUUGUCCGGAAUUAUUGGGCGUAAAGAGCUCGUAGGCGGCUUGUCACGUCGGAUGUGAAAGCCCGGGGCUUAACCCCGGGUCUGCAUUCGAUACGGGCAGGCUAGAGUGUGGUAGGGGAGAUCGGAAUUCCUGGUGUAGCGGUGAAAUGCGCAGAUAUCAGGAGGAACACCGGUGGCGAAGGCGGAUCUCUGGGCCAUUACUGACGCUGAGGAGCGAAAGCGUGGGGAGCGAACAGGAUUAGAUACCCUGGUAGUCCACGCCGUAAACGUUGGGAACUAGGUGUUGGCGACAUUCCACGUCGUCGGUGCCGCAGCUAACGCAUUAAGUUCCCCGCCUGGGGAGUACGGCCGCAAGGCUAAAACU